rnacentral:rRNA from 1 species
AUUGGGGCCCGGAGCCCUUUUUUAUUUAAGUCUCCCCCCCCCCUAAACAAAAAGGCUGACUGGGCGGCAGGCUACACACUAAAGGCGAGCGGAAGCACAGAGAACUUGCUCUCGGGUGAAAAAGCGGCGGAAGGGGUAAAUAAUGUCUGGGAAACUCCCUGAUGGAGGGGGGGAAAACUACGGGAAACGGUAGCUUAAUACCGGCAAAAUGUCGCCAAGACCAAAAUGGGGGACCUUCGGGCCUUCAAGCCAUUCAGAUGUGGCCCAGAUGGGAUUAGCUAGUAGGUGGGGUAACGGCUCACCUAGGCGACGAUCCCUAGCUGGUCUGAGAGGAUGACCAGCCACACUGGAACUGAGACACGGUCCAGACUCCUACGGGAGGCAGCAGUGGGGAAUAUUGCACAAUGGGCGCAAGCCUGAUGCAGCCAUGCCGCGUGUGUGAAGAAGGCCUUCGGGUUGUAAAGCACUUUCAGCGGGGAGGAAGGCGUUAAGGUUAAUAACCUUGGCGAUUGACGUUACCCGCAGAAGAAGCACCGGCUAACUCCGUGCCAGCAGCCGCGGUAAUACGGAGGGUGCAAGCGUUAAUCGGAAUUACUGGGCGUAAAGCGCACGCAGGCGGUCUGUCAAGUCGGAUGUGAAAUCCCCGGGCUCAACCUGGGAACUGCAUUCGAAACUGGCAGGCUAGAGUCUUGUAGAGGGGGGUAGAAUUCCAGGUGUAGCGGUGAAAUGCGUAGAGAUCUGGAGGAAUACCGGUGGCGAAGGCGGCCCCCUGGACAAAGACUGACGCUCAGGUGCGAAAGCGUGGGGAGCAAACAGGAUUAGAUACCCUGGUAGUCCACGCCGUAAACGAUGUCGAUUUGGAGGUUGUGCCCUUGAGGCGUGGCUUCCGGAGCUAACGCGUUAAAUCGACCGCCUGGGGAGUACGGCCGCAAGGUUAAAACUCAAAUGAAUUGACGGGGGCCCGCACAAGCGGUGGAGCAUGUGGUUUAAUUCGAUGCAACGCGAAGAACCUUACCUGGUCUUGACAUCCACAGAACUUACCAGAAAUGCUUUGGUGCCUUCGGGAACUGUGAAACAGGUGCUGCAUGGCUGUCGUCACCUCGUGUUGUGAAAUGUUGGGUUAAGUCCCCCAACCAGCGCAACCCUUAUCCUUUGUUGCCACCGGUUCCGCCCGGAAACUCAAAGGAAACUGCCAGUGAUAAACUGGAAGAAAGGUGGGGAAUAACCUCAAGUCAUCAUGGCCCUUACAACCAGGGCUACACACCUGCCUACAAUGGCCAUAUACAAAAAAAAACCCACCCCCCCAAAACCAACCGAACCUCAAAAAAUAUGUCCUAAUCCCGAAUUGGAAUCCCCAACUCCACUCCAUGAAAUCCGAAAUCCCUAGUAAACCCGAAGACCAGAAUGCCACGGAGAAAACGUUCCCGGGCCUUGUAAACACCCCCCCCUCACACCAUGGGGAAUGGGUUGUCAAAAAAAAUAGGUAGCUUAACCUUCGGGAGGGCGCUUACCACUUGGAUCAUUAUUU